AUGCGUCACAUGCUGGGCCUGCCCCCGCCUGGUUUAACGAAGGGGAAAAAAGCCCCGAUAUGUCACAUGACGCCAUGAUGACGCAAGUUUGACAUCCCUGUUAUAUCAUAUACUGCAUUUAUAUUUCAGGCUCUUCUUCGUGCAGUCAGAAUGCAGAAUUACCAACAUUCAUAUUAACCAAGGAUUCCACUCAGAAACUUUUGACAGCCAAAACCAAGUUAGAGAAGAUUCCUAGACCAAAAACAGUACCUUCAGAAUGGAAAAAUAGAAUAGUAGACUUUCUACUGCCAGAUCUUACCCAAACCUCACAUUCUACUUUACCUGUGCAACAAGAACAAAACCCAUCUCAAAAAUAAACUGCUAUUAUUUAGAUUUGUCAUUGACCAAGAGUGAAAACAUUACUGUGCACAUCAUUGCUGUCAGUAACUGUUAAUAAAACUUUUCUUACCAUAUUUUCUUUAAAGCUUUUGCUAUGAGAAUAAAAGAUUUUGGCUUUGUUAUGCCAUAUUGAGAUUUCAUUGUUGUUCUUUUGAAAGUUACAUAUUGUCAUUGUACAGGUAGUCCUUAAUGUAUGGCAAUUGAACCACAAAAUUUAUAUUAUUAAGAGAGAAAAUUGUUAAUGCCCCAUUUUACAACUUUUCUCACAUUUGUUAAUCACUGCAGUUCUUAAAUUAGUAACAUGGUUAUUAAGUGAAUCUAGUUUCCUCAUUGAUGUUGUCAGAAGGUUGCAAAAUGGGAUCACAUGACACCGGGACACUGCAACUGUCAUAAAUUGAGUCAAUUGUCAAGCAUCUAAUGUAAAUCACGUGUCCAUGGGGAUACUUCAAGUAAGUGUGAAAAAUUGUCAUAAGUCUCCUUUUUCAGUGCUGUUGUAACUUCGAACAGUCACUAAAUGAAGUGUUGUAGUUGAAGACUACCUGUAUAUAAUGCACAUGAAUUGUAUAAAGCUGUAGUUUCAUAUUUCUUAAGCAAAUGAUCUCUUGGGUCCCCUAAAUAAAUAAUCAAUGCCUUAUAAAAAAUACAUAGCACUGUUACAUGCUGUCAAUGUAAUGUUUAUUAGGUUGUUUAUGUAGUCUAGCUCUAAGUAACUGACUUGGACAAAAAAACAUUUUAAUAAAUGAUUUAUUAUUUUGGUAUUACGGUUGUAAAUGAUUUGCAUUUCUUCCAAUGACAACACCACAUAUGAAGUACAUAAUAUCUAUACAUUCCAUUCCCUAUGCAGUUCAUUUGCAUAUGAGAGUUCUGAGAACAAUCCAGAUAAAGAAUGAAAAUCGCAAUUUACUAUCUAAAGAAUUAAGGUCCACAUGAUCAGUUAUUCUAUACAGGUGAUUGCUUUAAAAACAAAUAAUAUGCUGAAUUUCAAACAACCAGCAAAGUGAUAAAAAUCAAUUCAUACUAAUUCAGAAGUAAUGGCAUUAUACUGAAAACAAAGUUUUAUCUAUCUAAAUCUAGAUGGUAAAGAAUUUAAAUAUGCGAAUAACAGGGAAGCCCCUUAAUGUGUCCACUGUAGUUUGGUAGAUUACAGAUGAAGCUGGUUUAGAAAAUCAAAUCUACUGUCACUGCAUGAAAUUGUUAAAAAUGCCCUAGUAAUUAAACGUAUAGCUUUAUGCCA